UGUUGAUGAGCUGUGAUGGUUCCAAGAGAAGUUACACACAAUAAAAUUGGAAUCCGUGGAAACAGAAUUCAGAGAUGAAGCAGCUAUAGCAGACCAACUGUGACUAGGGGCCUCAAACUGCAAUGUAAAUGAUUGAAGGACCCUCUGAAAUUUUGACCUUGUCAAUGAAGGACUAAACAGUAAUGAAUUUAUAAGUGUAGGGUACAGAGUAUCAUGAAGAUAAGCUUACUAUCAUGGUUGACUGACGAUGAAGUUGUCAAGCUGGCAAAGUCUAACAGCAGUUAUGAGGAGUGCUAAGAACUAAGCAGCAAGAUUCCAUGCAUCGUCAUCCUAUUCACUUUGUCGAGCAUCUAAAUUUUGUGGUCCCUCCAUGCUACUUUUAUGCUGGAGAUUUGUGGUCUUCAUUUAAACCAGGCCAAACAGUCCCUACAUUUGGUGCCUCGAAUAUUAUUUAGGUAUGUGCCCUUAUAUUUUUUGUGGAAAAUACAUGUUUUUUUCUUCCAAAACUAUAUCAACUACGAGAAGUCAAAAUUUUCCUUUGACCUGCUUGUCUCCAAGAAACAAAUAGCAAUAUUUAUUAUUCUUUCAGAUAAGUUUCAUGCAAGGUUUACUAUCUCGGUAUUGGAUCUUGUAUGGGCGCUAUUUUGGUACUGCAUCAGUACGCUUAAUAUGGACAUCCAUUCGGUGUAUUGAGACUCGGUAUGCACCUUGUCUCAGGUCUCCAUUUGGUAGCUGUACAGAAUAGUACCGAGUAAUUCCAUCAACUUGUAUUGUCAAGAUGAUGCUUCUAGUCACAUGGCCGCAUAUGAUCAGACACUCCCAAAGAUGCUUAUGGAAGGUGGCAUUAAAAUGAGGGAAACUUUUUGGCAGAUAAUGCCACAUAAUGCUUUUAGUGCUUCUUUGCAGCGGGUGCUUUACUUUAAAGACAGACCAAAUAUAAGGAUUUGAUUGGGGACAUAAAGCGAAGAUAGGAAGGCAGAUUGGUGGUCGGUGCUGAUGUUAUGGUCUAUGAUACAUAACAAGGUGAAGAUGAUUGAGGAAUGACGGGAGAUCUCUUGGAAGAUUGAUUGAAGAUCUCAGAGGAUGCAAAUUGCAGACAUUAUUCAUGAAGAUGAAUCAAAUUGAUGAUUUUUCAUAAGUUUGCAAGAAGGGCUAUGUCUGUUUCUAUCUCUUGCAAUUUGUAGUGUAAUUUCUUUCAAACAAAAGGAAUUCCUUUCUUAUGACGUAUUUAUUGCAUAUGGACUGAGUCAUGCAUGUAUUUGUUGAAAUUGAAUUAAAUUAUUGGAAAUUGCGUCUUUUGAUUGA